rnacentral:rRNA from 1 species
AUUGAACGCUGGCGGCGUGCCUUACACAUGCAAGUCGAACGGCAGCGCGGGGCAACCUAGCGGCGAGUGGCGAACGGGUGAGUAAAAUAUCGGAACAUACCCUAGAGUGGGGGAUAACGUAGCGAAAGUUACGCUAAUACCGCAUACGCACUAAGGUGGAAAGUGGGGGAUCUUCGGACCUCAUGCUCAUGGAGUGGCCGAUAUCUGAUUAGCUAGUUGGUGAGGUAAAGGCUCACCAAGGCGACGAUCAGUAGCUGGUUUGAGAGAACGACCAGCCACACUGGAACUGAGACACGGUCCAGACUCCUACGGGAGGCAGCAGUGGGGAAUUUUGGACAAUGGGGGGCAACCCUGAUCCAGCAAUGCCGCGUGAGUGAAGAAGGCCUU